ACUCAAAGGAAUUGACGGGGACCCGCACAAGUGGUGGAGCACGUGGUUUAAUUCGACGGUAAGCGUGGAACCUUACCCGGUCUUGACAUCUAGAGAAAGCACCAGAAAUGGAGCCGUGCCUUCGGGAACUCUAAGACAGGUACUGCAUGGUUGUCGUCAGCUCGUGCCGUGAGGUGUACGGUUAAGUCCGAUAACGAGCGCAACCCCUAUCCUAUGUUAAAAUAUUCAUUGGAGACUGCCCGGGAUAACCGGGAGGAAGGCGGGGAUGACGUCAAAUCAGCAUGGUCCUUACGACCGGGGCUACACACAUGCUACAAUGGGUAGGUAUAAAGGGAAGCCAAGCCGUAAGGCGGAGCAAAUCCCAUCAAAACUACCCUCAGUUCAGAUUGAGGGCUGCAACUCGCCCUCAUGAAGCCGGAAUCACUAGUAACCGUAUAUCAGCCAUGGUACGGUGAAUACGUUCUCGGGUCUUGUACACACCGCCCGU
rnacentral:rRNA from 1 species